rnacentral:rRNA from 1 species
CCCAGACUCCUACGGGAGGCAGCAGUGAGGAAUAUUGGUCAAUGGGCGGAAGCCUGAACCAGCCAAGUCGCGUGAGGGAAUAAGGCCCUACGGGUCGUAAACCUCUUUUGCCGGGGAGCAAGGGCGGGGACGUGUCCCGGCCCGGAGAGUACCCGGAGAAAAAGCAUCGGCUAACUCCGUGCCAGCAGCCGCGGUAAUACGGAGGAUGCGAGCGUUAUCCGGAUUUAUUGGGUUUAAAGGGUGCGCAGGCGGCACGGCAAGCCGGCGGUCAAAUCGCGGGGCUCAACCCCGCCCAGCCGUCGGAACUGCCGGGCUAGAGUGGGCGAGAAGUGCGCGGAAUGCGUGGUGUAGCGGUGAAAUGCAUAGAUAUCACGCAGAACUCCGAUUGCGAAGGCAGCGCACCGGCGCCCUACUGACGCUCAGGCACGAAAGCGUGGGUAUCGAACAGGAUUAGAUACCCCAGUAC